UGGAGUUAUCGGUGUAUUUUUAUUCCGUCAUCGCAAAACAAAAGUUCCGGAUAACUGGCUGACUUCUGAAACGCCAACCGGAUUCCAACGGUGGAAUGCAGAUCCCAAAUAAUCGGAUAGUAAAGCAGAAUCGAUCCCGGCGAAAGAAUCAUUUAUAUCCAGAGAUGGUUUAUCGAAGGGAAAAACGACCUCUUCGAGCACUAAGCGGUACAAAAAGUGGGCAUUUUUCUAAAAGUUGUGUAUUGCCAACGUGUGGAAGCCGAUAAACAGGUCUAAAAAUGCCAGCGGAACAAAAUUUGGAAACAGAUGGUUUACCGACGGAAAAGCAGAAUAGGAACAUUCUAUACACACAUGACCAUACAAAAUAGUGAUGAUGUAAGUUCAAAAUGGAAUGAAAAUAAAAAAUAAAAU